rnacentral:rRNA from 1 species
GAUGAACGCUGGCGGCGUGCCUAAUACAUGCAAGUCGAGCGAACGGACGAGAAGCUUGCUUCUCUGAUGUUAGCGGCGGACGGGUGAGUAACACGUGGAUAACCUACCUAUAAGACUGGGAUAACUUCGGGAAACCGGAGCUAAUACCGGAUAAUAUUUUGAACCGCAUGGUUCAAAAGUGAAAGACGGUCUUGCUGUCACUUAUAGAUGGAUCCGCGCUGCAUUAGCUAGUUGGUAAGGUAACGGCUUACCAAGGCAACGAUGCUUAGCCGACCUGAGAGGGUGAUCGGCCACACUGGAACUGAGACACGGUCCAGACUCCUACGGGAGGCAGCAGUAGGGAAUCUUCCGCAAUGGGCGAAAGCCUGACGGAGCAACGCCGCGUGAGUGAUGAAGGUCUUCGGAUCGUAAAACUCUGCUAUUAGGGAAGAACAUAUGUGUAAGUAACUGUGCACAUCUUGACGGUACCUAAUCAGAAAGCCACGGCUAACUACGUG